rnacentral:rRNA from 1 species
AUUGAACGCUGGCGGCAGGCCUAACACAUGCAAGUCGAGCGGAUGAAGGGAGCUUGCUCCUGGAUUCAGCGGCGGACGGGUGAGUAAUGCCUAGGAAUCUGCCUGGUAGUGGGGGAUAACGUCCGGAAACGGGCGCUAAUACCGCAUACGUCCUGAGGGAGAAAGUGGGGGAUCUUCGGACCUCACGCUAUCAGAUGAGCCUAGGUCGGAUUAGCUAGUUGGUGGGGUAAAGGCCUACCAAGGCGACGAUCCGUAACUGGUCUGAGAGGAUGAUCAGUCACACUGGAACUGAGACACGGACCAGACUCCUACGGGAGGCAGCAGUGGGGAAUAUUGGACAGUGGGCGGAAGCCUGAUCCAACCAGGCCGCGUGUGUGAAGAAGGUCUUCCGAUUGUAAAGCACUUUAAGUUGUGGGGAAGGGCAGUAAGUUAAUACCUUGCUGUUUUGACGUUACCAACAGAAUAAGCACCGGCUAACUUCGUG